rnacentral:rRNA from 1 species
CCGGUCCGGUAUUGAGGCUCACCGUUAGGCUUUCGGUGGAUACUGCCAGACUUGGAACCGGGAGAGGUAAGAGGUACUACAGGGGUAGGAGUGAAAUCUUGUAAUCCCUGUGAGACCACCUGUGGCGAAGGCGUCUUACCAGAACGGGUUCGACGGUGAGGGACGAAAGCUGGGGGCACGAACCGGAUUAGAUACCCGGGUAGUCCCAGCCGUAAACGAUGCUCGCUAGGUGUCAGGCAUGGCGCGACCGUGUCUGGUGCCGCAGGGAAGCCGUGAAGCGAGCCACCUGGGAAGUACGGCCGCAAGGCUGAAACUUAAAGGAAUUGGCGGGGGAGCACAACAACGGGUGGAGCCUGCGGUUUAAUUGGACUCAACGCCGGACAACUCACCGGGGACGACAGCAAUAUGUAGGCCAGGCUAAAGACCUUGCCUGAAUCGCUGAGAGGAGGUGCAUGGCCGUCGCCAGUUCGUACUGUGAAGCAUCCUGUUAAGUCAGGCAACGAGCGAGACCCGUGCCCACUGUUACCAGCAUGUCCUCCGGGACGAUGGGUACUCUGUGGGGACCGCCGAUGUUAAAUCGGAGGAAGGUGCGGGCUACGGUAGGUACGCAUGCCCCUAAAUA